GUAAGUAGCUAACUUUACCUGUGUUCGUGAAACAGGCAAGAAGCUCGUAUUAGCUGUUGAGGCAUAAGCAAUGUUGGGCCUGGUAGUUAAUGUUAGCUAGCUAACUGAUAGCUGAAGGUGUUUAGCUAUGACUUUGGUUAGUGUCAUAGCUAGCCAGCUAAUUCCGCUGUGGAGACCAUCAUCGGACUGGGACUGUUCGCACUGGCUAUCCUGGGACCUUCCAGUUGGAUUCUCGCCAACAUUGAGGACUACAAGAAGAAAGAUUAACUUAACAUGAACUCAUGUUAAUGGAUGUUCCGUACAUUCUGUACUCAUUCAAGACUCUCCUGGGACCAUCAUUAUUUCAAGAACUCUAUGGAACAAAUCCCCAACCUCCAUGAACUACCUCUCCAUCUCCACUGUACUCUCCUCACUCCUAGUUUACUCUUCAGCCCUUUGGAGAACCGUCUGCAAAUAGAAUGGCUGCACAACAUCUCAAGAUUUGUGAAUUUGAUUUGAACAAGGAGUAUGUUACAAUAAUAAAACAUAAUUAAACUUGAAAUAUUCUAGUCUCAAA
rnacentral:lncRNA from 1 species